GAUGAACGCUGGCGGCGUGCCUAAUACAUGCAAGUCGAGCGAACAGACGAGGAGCUUGCUCCUCUGACGUUAGCGGCGGACGGGUGAGUAACACGUGGAUAACCUACCUAUAAGACUGGGAUAACUUCGGGAAACCGGAGCUAAUACCGGAUAAUAUAUUGAACCGCAUGGUUCAAUAGUGAAAGACGGUUCUGCUGUCACUUAUAGAUGGAUCCGCGCCGCAUUAGCUAGUUGGUAAGGUAACGGCUUACCAAGGCGACGAUGCGUAGCCGACCUGAGAGGGUGAUCGGCCACACUGGAACUGAGACACGGUCCAGACUCCUACGGGAGGCAGCAGUAGGGAAUCUUCCGCAAUGGGCGAAAGCCUGACGGAGCAACGCCGCGUGAGUGAUGAAGGUCUUCGGAUCGUAAAACUCUGUUAUUAGGGAAGAACAAAUGCGUAAGUAACUAUGCACGUCUUGACGGUACCUAAUCAGAAAGCCACGGCUAACUACGUG
rnacentral:rRNA from 1 species